UAGGGGAGUAGCUCAAUGGUAGAGUCCACGUCUCCAAAACGUGUUGUUGCAGGUUCGAGUCCUGUCUCCCCUGUCC
rnacentral:tRNA from 1 species